UUUAAUAAAAAAACUAAUUGUUAUACAGUAGAUUAAAUUGCAACAGUUUGAAUUCAAAAAAAGAAAACUUGAAAGCCAUCACUACUCCCACUUCAUUUCCUCUUCUCACGAGUAUAGUUUGGGAUGGUUACUUUUCACCGUUUUACCUUCUUUUUUUCUGAGUUUUAAUUAAUCUUCUUACAUUAUACUUUUUCUCUCUUUCAUAUGUAGAGAUGAAUUUUUAUAAUAUGAAAUGGAAAGAACUGCAAGCACUAUGCAAUAAAGUUGGAACAUGAAAUUUCAGAUCUUUUUUCUCUCCAUGUAUAAUCACGUACGAAUAAAUUAUGCCUGAUGGAGUAAAGAAUUAUGAUAGUGAAAAAUGUCUUCAUAUUGCUUCUAUAUGCUUUUUUUUUAUUUU